rnacentral:rRNA from 1 species
GAUGAACGCUGGCGGCGUGCUUAACACAUGCAAGUCGAACGAUGAAGCCCAGCUUGCUGGGUGGAUUAGUGGCGAACGGGUGAGUAACACGUGAGUAACCUGCCCUUGACUCUGGGAUAAGCCUGGGAAACUGGGUCUAAUACUGGAUAUGACUUCUCAUCGCAUGGUGGGGGGUGGAAAGAUUUAUUGGUCUUGGAUGGACUCGCGGCCUAUCAGCUUGUUGGUAAGGUAAUGGCUCACCAAGGCGACGACGGGUAGCCGGCCUGAGAGGGUGACCGGCCACACUGGGACUGAGACACGGCCCAGACUCCUACGGGAGGCAGCAGUGGGGAAUAUUGCACAAUGGGCGCAAGCCUGAUGCAGCGACGCCGCGUGAGGGAUGACGGCCUUCGGGUUGUAAACCUCUUUCAGUAGGGAAGAAGCGAGAGUGACGGUACCUGCAGAAGAAGCGCCGGCUAACUACGUG